GGAUUUGUCACUUUCUGAGCUUAGAGAUCCUGCCUCUCUCCGCCUCUUGAAGCAUUUCACAAAUAGGAAAUCAGUUCCAGCUGAGCAGUUGGGAGAGCUCUCACGUUUCUGGGAGGAGCUCAGGCUUCCCUCGGUUGGCCUAGUUCCCUGACCCUGUACUCUGCCGGGUGGGGGGGGGGGCCCUCCUUCAGCCCAGUGACCACACCAGGCAGCAGCACUUGGAGCCAGCAGCUGCCCAUUAGCUUCCCAGCUCCCCUGGGCAUGGAGUCUUCUGCCACAGCCCUGCCUUCCCUGUGUUAUUCUUCUCCCAGGUCUGGGGAGAAGCUUUUUCUCUGAGCCGAGUGUUCUUUGUUCUCUCUGAGCUGAGUUCACACAGAAGGAGAAGGGCUGUGGCCAAAGACCAUGUUCGAGACACCAGCCAAGCACCUUUCCACCUCCCCGGAUGGCCUUGGACAACCAACUUCCUCCAUCUUAUGCCAGCCACCGGAAUUCAGCACCCCACAUACGAUUUUGCCAUCACCAUAGACGUUCUCCUCAGAUAUCUUUCUCUUUAAUUACCUUCCAUCUGUCAUACCCUUGAUCCCAUUAUUCCUGCUCUUAAAUAUCACAGACAUCUCCAGAUCUUCAUUUCUUUUAUUUUCACUCUUCCCCCCUCCCAGCUGGGAAAUGGAGGCUGGUCAUCUCAACCACUGUCCUUUAAUUUCCCUGUAUUCUCCUGGACCACAGCAUCCAGUUGAACCUUAGAUAUUAUCAAUUCAAGGAAAAUAAAAGUUAUACAAGAAAUAAAAACUAACUAUAGCAUAUGGCAAGGCUGAGAACAAAAUUUUUGUAAUCAUGAUGAUGUAAGGAUUUGAAAGUUGACUUAACCAAAAAUUGCAAAACAACUAGUAAAGUAGGAGGGUGCCUACAGGAAAAGCUUCCUGUGUUUCCCCUUUACUUUCACACACACCUCUGAUGUCAGAUGUGUGGGGUUUUCCUGCACACCAAGCAAUUCUCUGCAACACCAGUUGGAUGCCCUGUAAUUCAAUUCUUACACUAACCAAAGUUAGUGCAGACCCCACUGGUUAAAGGCUCAGUCCCACGAGACUGUGCCCCACUUCAAAUGCCAGUCGCAAGUAAUAGGUCACCAAGGUACCCACAACUUCUGUCUGACUUGGCUACAAAUCAGAGGUUCCAUGAGCCCUCCUCUCCUUGGAUUUGAUUGUUGGCUAGAACAGUUCACCAAACUCAGAGAAACACUUACUUACGUUUACCAGCUUACGAUUUAAUGAAGGGUAUGAUAAAAGAUACACAUGAACAGUCAGAUGAAGAGAUACACAGGGCAAGGUCUGGGAGGAUCCUGAGUGCAGGAAUUUCUGUCCCCAUGGAGGUGGGGUGUGCCAACCCGGAAUUUUUUUAAAUUUUGGGAUUUUUAUGGGGGCUUCAUCACGUUGGGAUGAUGGAUCAUUAAGUCAGUCUCCAACCCCCUCCCCUUCCUGAAGGAUGGGAGGUGAGAUUGAAAAUCCCAAGCUUCUAAUCAUGGCUUGGUCCUUCUGGUGACCACCCCCACUCCUGAGGCUAUCUGGAGUCCACUCAGAGUCACCUCAUUGGAACAGAAGAUACUCCUGUCACCCAGGAAACUUCAAGGGAUUUAGGAGCUCUGUGUCAGGAAGCAGACAAUGAACUCAGGCAAUGAAACAAGGAUUUCCAUUCCCAGGUUCAGCUACUGAUUCUUCUUGGGAUGACAGACCCUGCCUCCUCCUGGGACAACCUUCCUGGGAUCAGCUUCCAGCCUCCGGGGCCCCCUGUGGAUCCCUCUCCUUCUCCCUACUCCCUCUUCCUCAGCCUCCCCUUCAGUCCGUCAACCCUUUCUAAGAUUCCCCUUUUCACUCCUGUCUCCUCCUCGAGUCCCAUCUCCCAAAUCAAGUAUCACACAUAGAGGCUGGCAGAGGGAAUGAAGGAAUGCUCAGUAUCAGGGGAGGGUGGGGCAAGCCAGAGGACACGGGGCAUCCUCAUCCUCUCCACGGCUACUGCAAAGGAAUGAAGAUCCUGUUGCCAGAUUUUUCCACUUACCUGGAGGUCCUUGGCCUUCUGCUUUGUAUGAAACUCCCUGUUUUAUUUUAUUUUAUUUUAUUUAUUUUUGGCUGCUUUGGGUCUCAGUUGCGGCAUGUGGGAUCUUUUGUUGUGGCACACAGGCUCCUCUCUAGUCGUGGUGUAAGGGCUUCUCUCUAGUUGCAGCGCACGGGCUUAGUUGCCCCAUGGCAUGGGGGAUCUUAGUUCCCCGACCAGGGACGGAACCCACGUCUCCCUCAUUGGAAGGUGGAUUCUUAACCACUGGACCACUAGGGAAGUCCCAACUCCCUGUUUUUAAAUGUUGACAACUAACUCAAAUAUUUGUGAUUAGACCCAGAGACUAAAUCAACCAAAAAACUGGGUUCCCCCGGUCCUUGAAGAAGUUUCCUUCAAACCUUGACAAGAGAUGAGGAAAAUAUUUAUAUCCUAGUCUUCUAGGACAGCUAACUACAGGAGGUGGGAUAAAGUCUUUAAAUUUCCAUAUUAAAUCAGUAAGAUCUUUCAGAACCUACCAAACUCAUCAUCAUCAUCAUCAUCAUUAUAAUUUCAUCUUUGCAUAGUUCUGACCUUUAGAACACUUUAUUCUAGUGCAUUAAAAUCUGGGACUUUUCGUUGAAAACUGGCAGUUUUAAUUCAGUACAAGAAAUACCACGCACCCUUGCAGAUGCUCACUGAACACUCCUCCCCACUCCCCCACUCAAAGCUGUCUCUUUUCCAGGCUCAUCAUCAGCAAAGCCUCCUCUGCCCCGCUCCCUGCCUCACUCCCAGCAUUGUCUGCUGCCAUCACCCGCUCCUUGGGGUUCCCAAAGCACAGAAUGCCCUUGCUAAGCUGCUCCCUCCCUGAAUGAUUUUCCGGCCUCCCCUUCCAAGGCCUCCCCCCACCCCACCCCACGCCUCCCCACCCUGUCCUCACCAGGAACCAGCAGGUG